GGAGGUUUGGAUGUUCAGCCUA
rnacentral:siRNA from 1 species